UGGGAAAACUCAAACCAAAACGAAUCAUUGAACGGCAUGAUUUGGAACAGGCUUCCGAAGAGAAUUUUUGUGGGUGGCAAUGUUCUGCAGUUGGGUGUGUAUGAUGCUGUUGCUCAUUUCAACAUGGGUUCAAGGGCUUCUGUUGAUGUCUUACAACAAGAUGGGCUAGUUCUUGGCUACUACUUUGAAGAGGUUGUCUGCAAAGCUGAUAAAAAGCAUGUAAAGAAGGAAGAUCAUCGAGCUAAGCCGGAUGUCAAAAAGAGGAGGAAGGUGGUGUAUGGCCAGAAAAAGAAGAGGGAAGAUAAAAAUCAGGAAACAGAAGUCAAUACCUAUGAGGCAGGGACCUUUUAACACUAAACUGGUCCAUUCAUAAGGUUUAUUAAUCAAUUGUAGGUCAAUAUUGUUCUGAAAAUCAAUAUGUUCAACUUUAAAGCAGUUUUUCUCAAAUUGCCGAAAUCCACCAAUGGCCGUUAUUGCAUGCGCAAUAUCUCAAAAAGUAUUUAAGCUAUUGACUUCAAACUUUCAG